CCUGGCUCAGAACGAACGCUGGCGGCAUGGAUUAGGCAUGCAAGUCGAACGAGAAGCUCUAGCUUGCUAGAGUGGAUAGUGGCGAAAGGGUGAGUAACGCGUGAGUAAUCUGCCCCUAAGUUGGGAAUAGCCUCGGGAAACUGGGAUUAAUACCGAAAUGUGGUCUUUUGUCGCAUGACAGAAUGACUAAAGAUUUAUUGCUUAGGGAUGAGCUCGCGUUCCAUUAGCUAGUUGGUAAGGUAACGGCUUACCAAGGCAACGAUGGAUAGCUGGUCUGAGAGGAUGAUCAGCCACACUGGGACUGAGACACUGCCCAGACUCCUACGGGAGGCUGCAGUCGAGAAUCUUCCGCAAUGCGCGAAAGCGUGACGGAGCAAUGCCGCGUGCAGGAUGAAGGCCCUAGGGUCGUAAACUGCUGUCACCCGGGAUGAAUAAAUGACAGUACCGGGAGAGGAAGCCACGGCUAACUACGUGCCAGCAGCCGCGGUAAUACGUAGGUGGCGAGCGUUAUUCGGAUUUAUUGGGCGUAAAGGGUUCGUAGGGGGUUGGAUAAGUUUGAUGUGAAAUCCCGUGGCUCAACCACGGAACUGCAUUGGAAACUGUCCGACUUGAGGUUUGGAGAGGAAAGCAGAAUUCCCGGUGUAGCGGUGGAAUGCGUAGAUAUCGGGAGGAAUACCGACAGCGAAGGCAGCUUUCUGGACAACACCUGACCCUGAGGAACGAAAGCCUGGGGAGCGAACAGGAUUAGAUACCCUGGUAGUCCAGGCCGUAAACGGUGUACACUCGGUGUAGGUGGGGUUGGUCCCAUCUGUGCCUAAGCUAACGCGAUAAGUGUACCGCCUGGGGAGUACGGCGGCAACGCUAAAACUCAAAGGAAUUGACGGGGGCCCGCACAAGCGGUGGAGCAUGUGGCUUAAUUCGACGCGAAGCGAAGAACCUUACCUGGGUUUGACAUAUUUCUGAUCGCUGUAGAAAUACAGUUUCCCUUCGGGGCAGAUAUACAGGUGCUGCAUGGCUGUCGUCAGCUCGUGCCGUGAGGUGUUCGGUUAAGUCCGGCAACGAGCGCAACCCAUGUCCUUAGUUACCAGCGGAUAAUGCCGGGGACUCUAAGGAGACUGCCCGUGUCAAGCGGGAGGAAGGCGUGGAUGACGUCAAGUCAGUAUGGCCCUUAUGUCCGGGGCUGCACACGUGCUACAAUGGCCGGUACAAUGGGCAGCGAUAUCGCGAGAUGGAGCAAAUCCCCAAAGCCGGUCCUAGUUCGGAUUGGAGUCUGCAACUCGACUCCAUGAAGUCGGAAUCGCUAGUAAAGGCGUAUCAGCUACGACGCCUUGAAUACGUUCCCGGGCCUUGUACACACCGCCCGUCACAUCAUGGAAGUUGACUGCACCCGAAGUCUUUGACCCAACCUCUCACGAGGAGGGAGACGCCUAAGGUGUGGUCGGUAACUGGGAUGAAGUCGUAA
rnacentral:rRNA from 1 species